AAUCAUUAAGUCUAAACCUUUGUUUUUUAAAAAUAGGAUCCCAAGUGUUGUUUAUAGGCCUCUGACCCUAAAGGGAGAGAAGCUGAGGCUGGACAGUUGCUUUUAUAUGAAAAAAGGAGUGCAAACAGGGCUUUUAUUAGUAGGAUUUUCUACAUGAUAUUCUAGUAGUUCAUUGUUGUUCUGUCUUUAGCCAGUGACAUUAUAAAGCAGUCGCCAAGCUAAUGUUAUGCUUCCUGGGGUCAUUCAUAUAGAAUUACAUGGGCUGAGGUCAGAGGCCCGUGGUUCCUCCUCCUUCCUGACUCAGGUCAGGCUGAAUAGUAUCCAAGUGCCAUUUAACUCUUGCUCCUUCUCUUCAGAAAUCACUUGUUACUGGGUUGCUACCAAUCAACUCUAUUGUGGAGGCAUGUUUUAAUAUUUCAUUUCCUUCUGUUUAUUAGAAAAGAUUGGGGGAAAGCUACAUGCAAAGAUCUGAGUGUGAUCGUGGGAGCAGACCUGCAGUUAAAAAACGUGAAGGAGGCAAAGAUUGAUUUCAGGUUUUCAUGUCUUUGAGGGCCCCUCCUCGCCUGGGGCCCAGUCAGGGCUCCUGGGUUCCUCUUGGCUGAUAAACUCAUUUACACCGGGUUGUCCACACAUAAUGAGUUACACAGGCCGGGGAGGGAGCAACCCUUCACCCAGAGGGCGAUAUCUCCACCUCUGGAGUUUUCAGAUGUCAGUGAUAGGUGAAGAUGAGCUUUUUUGGCGGAGAGGAAGCUUUCAAACCAGGUACUGUCCUGUGACCAGGCUAUUACUGAGACUAUGUCAAGGGCUAGGGUCUUCACAUAAACCUUCAGCAGUGGGUCAGGACCCAGCUCACCUAUGCUGAGUGGACGUAUCUCGAGAUUACCUCACACUGAAAUGCUUGUCUCCCUCGUCUGUGAGGGAUUAGUGCUUUUCCGCUUUAAAGGAAAAACAGGCCAUCAAUUACUGAGGAAUUUUAUGGCACUGUCCAAAGCACAGUCUGGAAGCCAAGGAAAAAUAAAACUCCAGCUUCUUUAUGGAAAGUCAAAUGUAAAAGAGAGAUUGCUUCCUGAAAAGAGGGAGGCGCUGCCUAAGGGGAGCGGAGGGAUAAGAGACUUGAAUUUAGUCUGUAGAAACUCGUCUUCUGGUGCCCCUGAGGAUUUUAGGAGAACUCCGGGCCUCAAACUGAUGAACUUGAAGGCAAAGGGAAGCAGGGGGUUGAACUGUUUGGAAAGUAGGUGAGAAAAGUGAUUAUUUUUGGUAGCAAGAUCUUUGUGUUUGGAUUAUGCCUGCUGUGGAUCCAGUAUCUUAAUUUACAUUCGCCUCAGCAAGGGGAAGAAUUCCCUAGGUCAUUCGUACACCUGAUUCCAAUUCGAGGCUUGUUAAAUGUUGGAGAAGGAAAGGAAGGGAUGGUGUGGAAGUUUCUGAGGCUGGCUGACCAGGGAGAAAGCAGACAGAUCCUGGGGGCUGGACUUCAUCAUAAAUUACAGACAGACAGAACACUCUAGAACAUUGUAUGUUGCAAAGCAAAGUAGGACCAGCACAAGAAAGCGCUUUGUACACAUACGUGAAGCAGUCUCCUUUCUAGAAAAUGUUUCCUCAAACUAGGAAGAUCAGCAAGCCUUGUAUCAUCUUAACCUAAGCCUUCAACUCUUUUCAGCUGUCCUUUUCUGACAGUGGAUACACAUGAUGCUGUAAGUCUUUGCGUUCAUGCCUUUAUCCCAUCUCAGGAGCAGUGGGGGGAUUGUGACCGUAUGGGGGGAGUAGUCAUUUCACUGUCAUUUCUUGUUUCAGAAUUGGAGUGAAUCUGAAUGAAUCAUAACAGUUGCAUUUAAUAAAUUCUCCUGGGUAUUAGCUACUUUUAAACCGGUCAGACGAGUUUUAAGGUCCAUGUGGUUUGGGGAAAUUCAGCGGUGCAUUUCCUCGUUUGGUCACCCCUUAUUUCCCUCCAACUUUGUUCCUUUUCAGCAAGCUGGUCUACUUGGCACAGUUAUCUUUGAUCAUCUGAGUCACCGCCUCCACUCCAGGCUCUGACACGAGCAGCUUUAGCCUCUCUACGUUGACUUUCUGCCUCGGCUCUACAAUCAUGGUGGUUAAUGGAUGCCAGAUGUUGAAUUCGCGGAUAUGGAGGCUCCAACUGUAUCUGUUCCCGGCUUCUUCCUUGCGUCCCAUUCGCUUUGUGGUCAAAAGAUCAGGAAGGUGCUGAACCACGACAAGGAGAAAAGGGCCCAUGUGACACUGGCCACUGCUUCUUAGAUUUCUCUGAAGGGAGGAGCUAAAUUUCCGUCUGUGAUGGAAAAAUUGGGAAAGAGCAAUAAGGAAAAAAUACAUGUAAUAAAAAAUGAAAAUAAACAAUAAAGGCAGCAAAUAUCUGUUGAAAACUUUCUCUGUACCAGAGACUGAAUCAGAUACUACAUUGUUUAAAUAGCUUCUUAUAGUCACCAUGGAUUACAAUAAAUUCUUUUGAAAAAAGAUGAGAUUUACCCAUCUGCAUGAGCGCUCUCAUUUGAAUUCUGUGAUUUUUCUUUAUUUCUACCUAGUCACUAGGCAUAAAUUUCCUGAAAACAGAAGAGACUCAACUACUGUUAUUCAAAUAACGACCAUUUUGCCAGGAGGGAAUGUCAGGGAGUUAAUUAAAGCUAACAAAACCAUUGCCAGGUUUCCUAGGGUAAGGAAAAGUUUUCUUUUCCCCCCUGUUCUUUUUUUUUUUUUUUUUUUUGGUACG